AUACUUACCUGGCACAGGAGAGACAGUGAUCACAAAGGCUGUUUUCCCAGGGCGAGGCUCGCCAUUGCACUCCAGUGGUGCUGACCCUUGCGAUUAACCCAAAUGUGGUUAACUGAGGUACAAUUUUUUUUUUUUUUUUUUUUUUUAGAGAAAAU